rnacentral:rRNA from 1 species
GGGUCAGUAGGUUGGUCGUGCCACCGGUACGUACUGGUCUCACUGAUUCCUCCUCCCUGAAGAACCGUAAUGCCAUUAAUUUGGUGUUGCGGGGAAACAGGACUGUUAUUUUGAAAAAAUUAGAGUGUUUAAAGCAAGCUAACGCUUGAAUACAUUAGCAUGGAAUAAUGAAAUAGGACGAUCGAUCCUAUUUUGUUGGUUUCUAGGAUUGACGUA